AGAGUUUGAUCCUGGCUCAGGAUGAACGCUGGCGGCAUGCCUAAUACAUGCAAGUCGAACGAAGUUUCGAGGAAGCUUGCUUCCAAAGAGACUUAGUGGCGAACGGGUGAGUAACACGUAGGUAACCUGCCCAUGUGUCCGGGAUAACUGCUGGAAACGGUAGCUAAAACCGGAUAGGUAUACAGAGCGCAUGCUCAGUAUAUUAAAGCGCCCAUCAAGGCGUGAACAUGGAUGGACCUGCGGCGCAUUAGCUAGUUGGUGAGGUAACGGCCCACCAAGGCGAUGAUGCGUAGCCGGCCUGAGAGGGUAAACGGCCACAUUGGGACUGAGACACGGCCCAAACUCCUACGGGAGGCAGCAGUAGGGAAUUUUCGUCAAUGGGGGAACCCUGAACGAGCAAUGCCGCGUGAGUGAAGAAGGUCUUCGGAUCGUAAAGCUCUGUUGUAAGUGAAGAACGGCUCAUAGAGGAAAUGCUAUGGGAGUGACGGUAGCUUACCAGAAAGCCACGGCUAACUACGUGCCAGCAGCCGCGGUAAUACGUAGGUGGCAAGCGUUAUCCGGAAUCAUUGGGCGUAAAGGGUGCGUAGGUGGCGUACUAAGUCUGUAGUAAAAGGCAAUGGCUCAACCAUUGUAAGCUAUGGAAACUGGUAUGCUGGAGUGCAGAAGAGGGCGAUGGAAUUCCAUGUGUAGCGGUAAAAUGCGUAGAUAUAUGGAGGAACACCAGUGGCGAAGGCGGUCGCCUGGUCUGUAACUGACACUGAGGCACGAAAGCGUGGGGAGCAAAUAGGAUUAGAUACCCUAGUAGUCCACGCCGUAAACGAUGAGAACUAAGUGUUGGAGGAAUUCAGUGCUGCAGUUAACGCAAUAAGUUCUCCGCCUGGGGAGUAUGCACGCAAGUGUGAAACUCAAAGGAAUUGACGGGGGCCCGCACAAGCGGUGGAGUAUGUGGUUUAAUUCGAAGCAACGCGAAGAACCUUACCAGGCCUU
rnacentral:rRNA from 1 species